rnacentral:rRNA from 1 species
UGAGCAAUCUGCCCUUGACUCUGGAAUAACAGUUGGAAACAGCUGCUAAUACCGGAUACGACCUCCGACGGCAUCAUCUGGAGGUGGAAAGCUCCGACGGUUAAGGAUGGGCUCGCGGCCUAUCAGCUUGUUGGUGAGGUAACGGCUCACCAAGGCUUCGACGGGUAGCCGGCCUGAGAGGGCGACCGGCCACACUGGGACUGAGAUACGGCCCAGACCUCCUACGGGAGCAG